rnacentral:pre_miRNA from 1 species
CUUGGCACUGGCGGAAUAAUCACGUGAUAAAAUCAGUGAUUGUUACCUGGUGUCAAAAA